UAGCCUUGACAUACUACAGAAUUUGACAGAGAUGUUGAAGAGCGCUUCGGGAGCUAUAUUAC
rnacentral:rRNA from 1 species